rnacentral:rRNA from 1 species
AUUCCAGCUCCAAUAGCGUAUAUUAAAGUUGUUGCAGUUAAAAAGCUCGUAGUUGGACCUUGACCUGGACAGGCGGUCCGCCCCACGGCGAGUACUGUCUUGCUGGGUCUUUCCUCUUGGUGAUCUGUUGUUUCGGCAGCAGGGAACCAGGACUUUUACUUUGAAAAAAUUAGAGUGUUCAAAGCAGGCUCGACGCCGGAAUAUAUUAGCAUGGAAUAAUAAAAUAGGACGUGCGGUUCUAUUUUGUUGGUUUUUGGAAUCGCCGUAAUGAUUAAUAGGGACAGUCGGGGGCAUUAGUACUCACAUGCUAGAGGUGAAAUUCUUGGAUUUUGUGAAGACUAACUUCUGCGAAAGCAUUUGCCAAGGAUGUUUUCAUUG